rnacentral:lncRNA from 1 species
AAACCACGGGCCAGCAGGUACUACCCACGGAAGCAGCACGUCGCCCACCCCAGCCGCUCUUGCUCCUGUAUUGACCCAGGCCGGCCAUCAUUUGAGCGCGGCCUAGGCCCAAGCAGCUGCAGGUCCUGUCUCAGGUCCGAUCCAGCCAUUCUUCAGUCCAUUCCAGAAGCCCAGGAGCCCCUUAUGCUGCAGAUCUAGGACCACAUCUCCAGCUAGCUUCGCUCGGCGCUAACUUCGUGCUCGAGACUCUACAACAGACGCUUCCGGUUGACUGCAUCCACCACAGGUAACAGGUUCUUCUUUCUUUUGGGCUUGUUUAUCUAAUUAUGUUCUAGUUCUCUUGCAUGACAGUCCUAUUUUGAAAACUUACUUUCCUGUCAAACUACAAAACCUAGAACAUCUACUACCACACCCAUUC